rnacentral:rRNA from 1 species
GAUGAACGCUGGCGGCGUGCUUAACACAUGCAAGUCGAACGGAAAGGCUCCUGCUUGCAGGGGUACUCGAGUGGCGGACGGGUGAGUAACACGUGGGUGAUCUGCCCUGCACUUCGGGAUAAGCCUGGGAAACUGGGUCUAAUACCGGAUAGGACGAUGGUUUGGAUGCCAUUGUGGAAAGUUUUUCGGUGUGGGAUGAGCUCGCGGCCUAUCAGCUUGUUGGUGGGGUAAUGGCCUACCACGGCGUCGACGGGUGGCCGGCCUGAGAGGGUGUACGGCGACCUUGGGACUGAGAUACGGCCCAGACUCCUACGGGAGGCAGCAGUGGGGAAUAUUGCACAAUGGGCGCAAGCCUGAUGCAGCGACGCCGCGUGGGGGAUGACGGCCUUCGGGUUGUAAACUCCUUUCGCUAGGGACGAAGCGCAAGUGACGGUACCUGGAGAAGAAGCACCGGCUAACUACGUG